ensembl:snRNA U6 U6 spliceosomal RNA
GUGCUCACUUUGGCAGCACAUAAAAUUGGAACUAUGCAGAGAAGAUUAGAUGGCCCCUGCACAAGGAUGACAUGCAAAUUCGUGAAGCGUUCAAGAAAACA